UAUAUAUACAGUCUAUGGCUUAAAUAGUCUACCAGUUGGAUUGACACGCAAAGACAUGUGAAGACAACAGUAUUGAUACCCGUGCCAUUGUGGAACAGUGUUCUAGAAUCUUUGAUUGCAACCGUUGGUCCUCCACAUCAAGCGACAAGCCGGCAGUGUAAGCGUGAAGGCAAUGUUCAGCCCCACUCAUAUUCCAGAAACACAGUGACACCGGAUCAUAACGAAGGACUGUUACAGCGGCCUCCACACCACCCUCUUCCAGAGCUCCUUCAGAACACUAUAGAUAUGGCACAAGAUGAUUGGCAACAAGAGACACCCAGUGAUGAGCUCUCCUGAAUGCUAGAGGCUGAGAGAGAGUAGUCACUAGAGUGGCUGGCUGCCUGUUUGGAUAAGACACAUUUCACAAGACACAUUUCAUCCAUUGUAUUCAAGAUCAAAGAUUUCUCAGAUCAGCUCCUGCAGGAUGCACAGGUAUUUUGGACAAGUUCUCUCUACUGUUGUCAGUACACUACUGUUUUAUGAGCAUUGCUAGUUAAUUGUUUUUUUUGUUUUUUGUAUAUUUUUUUUGAGUUUUUUUGUAAAAUGUUUUUUAGAUUUUAGUAAAAUUGUUGUUCAAAAUGACA